GAUGAACGCUGGCGGCGUGCCUAACACAUGCAAGUCGAGCGAUUCUCUUCGGAGAAGAGCGGCGGACGGGUGAGUAACGCGUGGGUAACCUGCCCUGUACACACGAAUAACAUACCGAAAGGUAUGCUAAUACGAGAUAAUAUACUUUUAUCGCAUGGUAGAAGUAUCAAAGCUCCGGCGGUACAGGAUGGACCCGCGUCUGAUUAGCUAGUUGGUAAGGUAACGGCUUACCAAGGCGACGAUCAGUAGCCGACCUGAGAGGGUGAUCGGCCACAUUGGAACUGAGACACGGUCCAAACUCCUACGGGAGGCUGCAGUGGAGAAUAUUGCACAAUGGGCGAAAGCCUGAUGCAGCAACGCCGCGUGAGCGAUGAAGGCCUUCGGGUCGUAAAGCUCUGUCCUCAAGGAAGAUAAUGACGGUACUUGAGGAGGAAGCCCCGGCUAACUACGUGCCAGCAGCCGCGGUAACAC
rnacentral:rRNA from 1 species